GGGGAAGGGGUGGUAGGCUGCGCACUGUAUAUAAGCCAAAGUCCUUAAUAUGGAGACGUCUGGUCACCCUAGCUGGGGGGAGAGGAGCAGGUUGCUGACCCCGC